rnacentral:sRNA from 2 species
ACAACCGCCAUACAAGUUAUAAUCACUCCAAAGGACGUGCCAAAAUGAUAAAUCUGGGGUUACCUCUACUAGAUUGGGCAAUGUGGCUCCCUUGAGCGAUUUGGGACUUUAGGAGCCCCUAUCAGCUUUGUCCCAGUGUGAUAGUGAUAUGCCAACUCCUUUCUUAAUUCCAUGUGGUUUCCUAAUCGCGGCUUUUAUGAUUUCUAUGCACUUUAUUUGCUAAUAUUUUUGCUCACCAUACCACAACCAUUGAAAUAUCAAAGAUCACAAUCAUCAGUUUGAAUUUUUUGUUCAAAUAGCUACAUAACCUUAUUUGAAUUUUUUGUUUUUCCUUUGGAAAGUUCAUCGUAACUCAUUUUUUUUUAACCUCAGAGCCCAGCAAGUUCAGAAUCUCAAACAGAGAAUGACUUAUUAUUUCAAUAAAAGUUG